rnacentral:rRNA from 1 species
GUGCAGCAGUCGAGAAUCUUCCACAAUGGACGAAAGUCUGAUGGAGCGACGCCGCGUGGUUGAUGAAGUCCUUCGGGACGUAAAGACCUUUUAUGGGGGAGGAAGUAAUUGACGUUACCCCAUGAAUAAGGGGCUCCUAACUCUGUGCCAGCAGGAGCGGUAAUACAGAGGCCCCAAGCGUUAUCCGGAAUCACUGGGCGUAAAGGGUGUGUAGGCGGUUUUGUUAGUCUUUUGUGAAAGCUCUUCGGCUUAACCGAGGAAACGCGGAAGAAACGGCAAGGCUUAGAGGAUACGAGAGGUAGAGGGAACUCAUAGUGUAGGGGUGAAAUCCGUUGAUAUUAUGGGGAACACCAAAUGCGAAGGCACUCUACUGGCGUAUUCCUGACGCUGAGACACGAAAGCGUGGGAAUCGAACGGGAUUAGAUACCCCUGUAGUCCCUA